AAAUUAAUAUUUAAAGAUGAUUUUAUAUAUAUAUAUAUAUAUAUAUUUAACAAUAUUUAAAAGUGUCCUAAUACAGUUUAGCGUUACAUUUAAAAACGUCAGUUAAAUUAUGGGCAAAUGAAGAGUCGCCACGUAUAUACUAAUUAUUAUGCCAAGUGUCAAUAAAAUAUAUUCCGACGAUCUAAAGCAUCAGAAUUUUUCAGAAUUUUUUCAAAUCCUGACACUUAUUAAAGUGUUGAAAAGUAAAAAAUAAUAAUAAAAUUUAUUAUUUAAUAAAUUAGUUCGAUACAAUAGAAUACUUUUUAAAGCGUCAAUAUUUGCUAUAUUGUAAGAAUACUUUCCUCAACCAUCAUCUAAAAAAAUCCUCUUAUUAAGAUUUUCUU
rnacentral:lncRNA from 1 species